rnacentral:lncRNA from 1 species
CCAGACUGGGCAACAUAGCAAGACUCUAUCUCUACAAAAAAAAAUUAAAAUAAAAAAGAUAUCCAGAUGUGGUGGCGCAUAACUGUAGUCCUAGCUAUUCAGGAUGCUGAGGCGGGAGAAUUGCUUGAGCCCAGGAGUUUGAAGUUGCAAUGAGCCAUGAUCAUGCCACUGCACUUCAGCCUGGGUGACACAGGGAGACCCUCUCUCUUAAAAAACAAACACUGAGUGACAACUAAGUGCCAAGAUCCAUGCUCAACACUAGAGGUAUACAAGACAAAUGCAACCUAAUGAGAGAGGCAAGCUAGGGAGCUGGAAAUGACUGUGUAGUCUGAGUGCUAUAGUGGGUAAAGGUGCAGGAGGAGCCCAGACUGGAGACAGGGUGAUGGCUGGGGAAGUUUCCAGAAGGAAGUGACCUCUGCUUCAAAGCCAAAACAUGAAUUGGUGUCUGUGUGUUGAAUUGAGGGUAUGGGUGGGAAUGGUGGUGUUCCAGGCAGAAGGAAGAGCAUGUGCAAAGGCCCAGAAGCAAGAAAGAACAUGGUGACUUCAGGAAGUGGAAGGAAAAGUGGCUGGAGCCUGGGGAGGAAGAGAAUAGUGAAGCUAGAGCUGUGAGCACAGGCAGGAUUGCAAAAGAUUCUCCAAGUCGUGGUAAAGUUUGACUUUAUCUUAAAGGCACUGUCAUGUGAUGAAACUGGGGAAUGACAUGGUCAGGUUGGUGAAAACCAAUAGGAAGAAGGCAAAGCAGCUGUGGGGGAAGAGGUGACGGGAUUGGAGCAGGGAGGGUGGUACAUGGCUUCCAUCAGUGAGUUCAAGAACUAGAAAGAAGGCGCUUGUAGAUGAUGUGUAAUGGAAAUAAGAGAAUUUAGUUGAGACUAAAAGAGAUUGAGCUAAUAAUAAAUUCACUAAUAACCUUUCCCAUUAUAAAAGUUCCUUUCCCUUUUAUCUUGGGUACUUCUAUUGUAAAAACACCCCCGUGUCCCCCCACCCCCAAAAGACAGUGAUAUAAUCUGCAUUUCUGUCCUUGGUUUCAUUGCUUUAAACUUCCAAGUAUUUAUUGAGCAUCUACUACAUGUCUGGUGCUGUUCUAGGUGCUGAUCACAGACCAUUCUUGCUUUCUAGGAGGUUUCCUUUUAGUCAUGGAGACAGUGCUAUAUGUCACAGGGAAACAAAGCACAGGUAUUCAGACAGCAAUCAGUUCUGUAAAGAUGAGAAAUCAUAAGGUCAACUGGGAGCGGUGGCUCACACCUGUAAUCCUAGCAUUUUGGGAGGCCAAAGCAAGUGGAUCACUUGAGCCCAGGAGCUUAAAACCAGCCUGGACAACAUGAUGAAACUUCAUCUCUACAAAAAAUACAAAAAAAAAAAAUUUAGCUGGUAUGAUGGCACAUGCCUGUAGUCCCAGCUACUCAGGAGUCUGAGGUGGGAGGAUCACUUGAGCCUGGGAGGUUGAGGCUGCAGUGAGCUGCGAGCAUGCCACUGCACUCCAGGUGGGGUAAGAGAGCAAGACACUGUCAAAAAAAA